UAUSAAAGUUGGCGAAGUCGUAGUUGAACUUCCACGGACCCAUGCGGUCUGCCUCACGGUAUGUACUGUGUGGGUCCGUGUUCCUUGGUGGUGAGCCUCGAUGCCGUUCGUSCGGUGUCUUGGUGAACCACCUCUGUUACCUUGAGAAAAUUAGAGUGUUCAAAGCAGGCAAUAUGCCCGAAUACAUUAGCSUGGAAUAACGAAUAGGACGUGCGGUUCUAUUUUGUUGGYUUCUAGAGUCGCCGUAAUGAUUAAUAGGGAUAGUUGGGGGCAUUAGUAUUCAGUUGCUAGAGGUGAAAUUCUUGGAUUUACUGAAGACUAACUACUGCGAAAGCAUUUGCCAAGGAUGUUUUCAUUAAUCAAGAACGAAGGUUAGGGGAUCGARAACGAUCAGAUACCGUUGUAGUCUUAACAGUAAACUAUGCCGACUAGGGAUCGGGCGACCUCAAUUUGAUGUGUCGCUCGGCACCUUUCGAGAAAUCAAAGUCUUUGGGUUCGGGGGGGAGUAUGGUCGCAGCUGCAUGAUGUGGAAGGCACCSCCA
rnacentral:rRNA from 1 species